GUGAAGGUCCAGUCAUCACUGGUGCACGUGUAUCUUAUCUGUGAUCAACACCGGCAGCCACAGACUCCUGCCCAAGGAACGAACACAGUGAUCGUGAUGACAUUGACAACAACGAGCAAGUCCUCCUAGACCUAGAGUGACCUCAAGCUGGGCCAAACAUGAUGUGGAAGAAGAAAUCAGUUGUCUCCAUCAGUCGGGUUUGUGCCAUGGCAGCUUUCUCCAGCUGUCCGGCAGAGGUCCAGUCCAUGCCAUGGAGAAAUUCAGCCCCCAACAAUGAGAUGGCAUGCCAGAGAUGGAUCCGCAGCUUCUCCUCCAAUCAGUCAAUCCUUGCAAUGCCCUUUCUCUUUUCUCUUCUUCUGUACCACCAUGCUUACACAUAACUGAUCCAAGGUACUUAAACUCGUUAACCUCCUCCAUUUCUUCACCAUUCAAAAUUAUUUGGCAUUCUUUUUCACAUUCAAUGCCCACUCUAUAUGGGCAUACAAACUCUACAACCUCCCUUCUACUCCGCUCACAAACCAUCACUACUUUUGUUGACAUUUACUUUCAACUUUCUCCUUUUACAUACACUAUCAAAAACACUGACCAAAUUUUGUAAGUCACUUUCAUUUUCUGCAUUGAGCACCGUGUCAUCAGCAAAUAAGAUUGAAUUCAUCACCCACUUCCCUCCCUCCCUCAGCAUACAUUUUUACUUCAAUUUCCCCAACUUUGCCCUUCAUUUCUCAUAACACCAUCCAUAUAAAUAUUGAACAACCAUGAUGACAUAUAUAUCUUUAAGACGUCCCACAAUGCCAGCCAAUCGACUCUGUCAUAAACUUUCUUUAGAAUAACUAGAUCCAUGAAGGCAGCAUAGUAUUUUUUCCUUUUGCUAAUAUUUUUUCUAAUAAAACACCAUACUGAAGGAAAAUAUCUGAUCCACACAUCCUCUUCCCUUCCUAAAGUCUCCUUGUUCUUCACUGAUUUUCUCUUCUGUAAGUCUUUGCGCAGUCUCAAUUAGGACUUUUCCAUAUACCUUUCCAGGUAGCCUACACUCAGCAGACUUAUACCCCUACAACUCCCACCUCCCCUCUCCUGCCCUUCCCCUUGUAAACUGGGACCAUGAUGGCUUUUGUCAAGUCUGCUGGGACCUCCCCCCCCCCUUCCCAGGCCACUUCACAUAUCUUGACCAUUCAUAUAGUAACUUCAUCUCCACACUUCAACAUUUCUGCUGUGAUUCCUCUCAAUUCAUUCAUCAUCAUCA